CGAGGCCGGCAGUGGCGCCAGUCUCCGUAGGUAGACGACGGCGGGCGGUAACCGGGCUUAGGGCAGUACCUCCACUAACUUUCAAAUGCUGAAGUGACACGGAUUUUUUAAGAGUGUUUUUGCAGUUCUAGUGACAGACUAAUACGACUUUACAUUGUGAAAAGAAGAAACAGUCUUGAGAACCCGGCUAAUUGUGUCUGUGGCCUCGGAAAAUAGUAGCGGUGAGAGGAAAAUGUUUCUCAACACAGCCAUACAGGCCGCAACGUCUUAAUGGACUAAACGCCACAAAACAACCACAGAGGCACGACUACUUAAUCAAGGGUGGGAGACAGGUGGGCGGUGGUGCGCCGCCUGUCCUGCCUGGCGAACACCGUACCGGGACAAGGCUGGCGGCGAGGAGUGUCACCUCCACACAGUGACGUUCAAUCAUCGAGGACUGCUUUCCAAACUGACGUGCGGCGCCAUACUUUGGGUGUUCAGGAAGGAGACGAGUGUUAACGUGAAUGGUGGGGGACCCGGGAGAGCGAGGAUGACAGUUGGCAAAGAUGUGCCUAGGUGUUACUGUCAUGGACCGCAGAACCAGCGGCCGUCUAGGGGCGUGGCUGGAGCAGUGGUGGCAGUCCUUCCUUCUGACUGCUUUUCCUUCCUUACGAGUUACAAGAGGUAAGUGAUGGGAGCAAUCAGGCGCGGCGAAGCGGCGAGGCGCGGCUCGGGACCCAGCCCCUGAACAUAAAUCUAAGAAGAGGCUUUGAAUUCAUUCACGUUCUUUAUGAUAUAUUGUUGCAGUAAAGGUUGUUCUGAGUGUUGCGUUGUGGACGACGGUGCUCGGGAAACAUGAAAAAUGUCACGUGAGCUUUCCACACUCUAAUGUACGUAAAUAAAUUCUUCUAUCACCCCUCGCAA